rnacentral:rRNA from 1 species
UACGGAGGGGGCAAGCGUUGUUCGGAAUUACUGGGCGUAAAGGGCGCGUAGGCGGCCUGCUAAGUCGAACGUGAAAUCCCCGGGCUCAACCCGGGAACUGCGUCCGAGACUGGCGGGCUCGAAUUCGGGAGAGGGAUGCGGAAUUCCAGGUGUAGCGGUGAAAUGCGUAGAUAUCUGGAGGAACACCGGUGGCGAAGGCGGCAUCCUGGACCGAUAUUGACGCUGAUGCGCGAAAGCCAGGGGAGCAAACGGG